UCUUUCAAUAUUUUCCCUAUUAUUGCUUUAGUUUGAAUUCUAAAGUCAAUCUCUUUAUGUUUUUAGGAUAUCUUUGAAUAUGUUUUAGUGCUUUUUUUUUUAUCUUUAUUUUUUUAGAAUACUAUGUUAGUGCGUUAUUUUGAUUUUUACAUGUGAUAUCAAUCUUUUGUUUUGGGUUUUGGGGGUUUUGGUUGUCUUUGUGCUUAUCACAAGCUUUACUCUGAGAUUUGUUCUCAAUAUGAUAAAACAAGUUUUCUUUUUUAUUUGGGUCUGGUAUGUGGAGGUAUUGGUUGCAAUUUCUUCUUUUCCUUUCGUGGCAUAUGUUUUACCUUCCUUCCCCCACCCACUUCCUAGGAGUUGAGCAGUCGCCUGGUUAUAUCAGGUCUCUUUUCCUAACUUAUAGAAAAUUUAAAGAAAUAUAGGUCCUACUUCUCUAAUUUGUAUUGUUGUCUCAUUCUCAUCAUACUAUUUUUCAUGAAAAUCUCAACACAAAUCUGUGGGUAAGUUUUCUUUUUCUUCCUAGCUUCUCAUGUAAUGUACUGCACAUUAUGCAAUCAUGCUCAUCAUAAGUUUAUCUCACCCAGUCAUACUUAUUAACAGAGAUUACUCGUCUUUGAAGCUUUUUGGUAUCUUUAACUUGCAUUACCUGUAAACUGAUUAUGAUUUUUUUUGUUUUGUUCUACUUUGUAAGGAAAUAUUCAUGUUGUCAGCUGCUAAUUAAUAACAACUUAACUUAAAAAUUUUUGGAAAAUUUGCGUGAAACCUGCAUGUACCAUGCCAAGGUGUUUUCUUUCAUUCAUACAAUUUUUUUAAGUGUUUCUUGAGUUAUAGUCACCAAAAUUUGGUAAUUUCCAUAUAGGCUGCCCUUUGAAGUGGAGAUUCUGAGUUUGCUACUGGGAUAGCAGCUAUAUCUACCAUAGGCAAUGUAAAACGCAAAAAAUAACAACGCAAAAAAUAACUUUCACUUAUGAUCUUUCAAGUGAAGAAGUAUUUUUGGGUUCUGAAGAACAUGUGUAUACUUGUUACUGAUCGAAUGCAUAAGAGGUUGGGAUAGAGAAUUACUUGAAUAAUCAAUACCUAAUAUGAACACAUGCACCAAUUUUUUACUGUGUCCACACAUCAUAAAUUGACAUUGUAACAUCAUAAUUUUAUAAUGUAAAGUGUUGAGAGCUUUAUGCAUGAAUUUAACUAUUUGUGUUUCAUAUGGUUUUGAUGAAAUUCUAUAUAGUAUUCUUUUUUUUUCUUUUCUUUUCUUUUUAGAAUAGUAACGAUGAAGUUCUUCAUAGUUCUCGUCACUUCUAUGUAGAAUGAAUCUCGACAACCAGUUCCCACCAUGGUUUUGUAAACACAGACCACAAUGUGGUCGAAUGCACAUCUUUAUCGUAAAAACACGAGAUAACUACAAUAGACCUUUCUACAAAUGCUCCAACUGGAAGGUAUGUGACAUUCAUUCAUCAAUAAUGUAAAAGCACAUCGUUCAAUGAAGUGGGAUGCGGCCAUCUAGUGUGAUGUGACGAGAUACUAGGCCAAGAUAGGAAACCCAUGGUCAGAAACCCUUUAUAUGUUUAUGUUAACCACUAGAAUGAAGUGGAAUGCGGCCAUCUAGUGUGGUGUGACAAGAUCCUAGGCCAAAAUAGGAAACCCAUGGUCAAAAAGCUCGUGUCACAGAGGCCAGAUGUUGGUAUCACUAAUGGCAUACAUCCUGCUCAUAUGCCAGAUGUUGGUAUCACUAAAGGCGUACAUCUUGCUCGGAUGUUGGUAUCACUGAUGGAGUACAUCCUGCUCUAUAUGAAGAAAAGAAGCUCAAAGUUGUUGCUAUGGUCCCCGAGAAAGUAGUUAUUGUAAAAUUUAUUAUUAUUAUUAUAAGCGGAAUUGUUCUUAUAUUGCUGAUGUUCGCCAUUCCUUUUCUUUUGAAAGGAACGGGUAUUUGUUUCAUGGUAUCAUUACAACUGUAAUGCAGUUGUCAUAUAUCUCUUUCUUAUUUGGUGAUGUAUUGUAAUAUGGUUAGUAGGUUAAAAAAUAUUAUUA